GUGACAAGUGUGUUAUUGUUGUUGUCAAAGUUAAAGAAUUAAUGUAUUUUAAUAGGGUGGAGGUAGUAUUGGUAGUGACUCUAUAUUAGGCUUGUUUAGUACUACAAAUGUGUUGGACUACAAAUCCCAUGAGUCCAAGUACUAUAAAGAAGGAAAUCAAACUUUUUGGUCUUCCUCUUUGUGGGACCACAUGCUAACAAACAACAUUGGAUUUUCCAUUUUCUUACGCACGGUUGACUCUGUUAAGAUGCAGAAGAUCAUAACUGCAGCUACAAUCAACAGAGGUCCAGCAGCAGAAAUCAGCACUAUGAGAGAAACUGAGCCUGUAAUUAAAAUACAAUAAUGAGAGAGUCACAUGACCCACAUUCACCACUGAACACAACAAUGAACAAUUCUGCUGU